rnacentral:tRNA from 1 species
GCGCCCCUAGCUCAGCUGGAAGAGCACUCGGUUUACACCCGAGCGGUCGGCGGUUCGAGUCCGUCGGGGCGCACCA